rnacentral:rRNA from 1 species
GAUGAACGCUAGCGGCAGGCUUAACACAUGCAAGUCGAGGGGUAUAGUUCUUCGGAGCUAGAGACCGGCGCACGGGUGCGUAACGCGUAUGCAAUCUACCUUUUGCAGAGGGAUAGCCCAGAGAAAUUUGGAUUAAUACCUCAUAGUAUGUGAGAAUGGCAUCAUUUUCACAUUAAAGUCACAACGGCAAAAGAUGAGCAUGCGUCCCAUUAGCUUGUUGGUAAGGUAACGACUUACCAAGGCAACGAUGGGUAGGGGUCCUGAGAGGGAGAUCCCCCCCACUGGUACUGAGACACGGACCAGACGCCUACGGGAGGCAGCAGUGAGGAAUAUUGGACAAUGGGCGAAAGCCUGAUCCAGCCAUGCCGCGUGCAGGAUGACGGUCCUAUGGAUUGUAAACUGCUUUUGUACAGGAAGAAACACUGGUUCGUAAACCAGCUUGACGGUACUGUAAGAAUAAGGAUCGGCUAACUCCGUGCCAGCAGCCGCGGUAACAC